GACGAACGCUGGCGGCGUGCUUAACACAUGCAAGUCGAACGGAAAGGCCCUGCUUUUGUGGGGUGCUCGAGUGGCGAACGGGUGAGUAACACGUGAGUAACCUGCCCUUGACUUUGGGAUAACUUCAGGAAACUGGGGCUAAUACCGGCUAGGAGCUCCUGCUGCAUGGUGGGGGUUGGAAAGUUUCGGCGGUUGGGGAUGGACUGGCGGGUUAUCAGCUUGUUGGUGGGGUAGUGGCUUACAACGGCUUUGACGGGUAGCCGGCCUGAGAGGGUGACCGGCCACAUUGGGACUGAGAUACGGCCCAGACGCCUACGGGAGGCAGCAGUGGGGAAUAUUGCACAAUGGGCGGAAGCCUGAUGCAGAAACGCCGCGUGCGGGAUGACGGCCUUCGGGUUGUAAACCGCUUUCGCCUGUGACGAAGCGUGAGUGACGGUAAUGGGUAAAGAAGCACCGGCUAACUACGUG
rnacentral:rRNA from 1 species